UACGUAGGUGGCAAGCGUUGUCCGGAUUUACUGGGCGUAAAGAGCGCGCAGGCGGUCGUGCAAGUCGCGUGUGAAAGCCCCCGGCUCAACUGGGGAGGGUCACGCGACACGGCUCGACUCGAAGGCAGGAGAGGGAAGUGGAAUUCCCGGUGUAGUGGUGAAAUGCGUAGAUAUCAGGAGGAACACCGGCGGCGAAGGCGGCCCUCUGGCUCGUUGCUGACGCUGAAACGCGAAAGCGUGGGGAGCAAACAGG
rnacentral:rRNA from 1 species